rnacentral:rRNA from 1 species
UACGUAGGGCGCGAGCGUUGUCCGGAUUUACUGGGCGUAAAGGAUGCGUAGGCGGACAUUUAAGUCAGAUGUGAAAUACCCGAGCUUAACUUGGGUGCUGCAUUUGAAACUGGGUGUCUAGAGUGCAGGAGAGGUAAGUGGAAUUCCUAGUGUAGCGGUGAAAUGCGUAGAGAUUAGGAAGAACACCAGUGGCGAAGGCGACUUCCUGGCCUGUUCUUGACGCUGAGGCGCGAAAGCUAGGGUAGCAAACGGG